rnacentral:rRNA from 1 species
CCUACGGGUGGCAGCAGUGGGGAAUAUUGGACAAUGGGCGAAAGCCUGAUCCAGCCAUGCCGCGUGUGUGAAGAAGGCCUUCGGGUUGUAAAGCACUUUCAGUGGGGAAGAAAGCCUUGGGGCUAAUACCCUCGAGGAAGGACAUCACCCACAGAAGAAGCACCGGCUAACUCCGUGCCAGCAGCCGCGGUAAUACGGAGGGUGCGAGCGUUAAUCGGAAUUACUGGGCGUAAAGCGCGCGUAGGUGGUCUGAUAAGCCGGUUGUGAAAGCCCCGGGCUCAACCUGGGAACGGCAUCCGGAACUGUCAGGCUAGAGUGCAGGAGAGGAAGGUAGAAUUCCCGGUGUAGCGGUGAAAUGCGUAGAGAUCGGGAGGAAUACCAGUGGCGAAGGCGGCCUUCUGGACUGACACUGACGCUGAGGUGCGAAAGCGUGGGUAGCAAACAGGAUUAGAUACCCUGGUAGUC